rnacentral:rRNA from 1 species
AACGAACGCUGGCGGCAUGCCUAACACAUGCAAGUCGAACGAUCCCUUCGGGGAUAGUGGCGCACGGGUGCGUAACGCGUGGGAACCUGCCCUUAGGUUCGGAAUAACUCAGAGAAAUUUGAGCUAAUACCGGAUAAUGUCUUCGGACCAAAGAUUUAUCGCCUUUGGAUGGGCCCGCGUUGGAUUAGCUGGUUGGUGGGGUAAAGGCCUACCAAGGCGACGAUCCAUAGCUGGUCUGAGAGGAUGAUCAGCCACACUGGGACUGAGACACGGCCCAGACUCCUACGGGAGGCAGCAGUGGGGAAUAUUGGACAAUGGGCGAAAGCCUGAUCCAGCAAUGCCGCGUGAGUGAUGAAGGCCUUAGGGUUGUAAAGCUCUUUUACCCGGGAUGAUAAUGACAGUACCGGGAGAAUAAGCCCCGGCUAACUCCGUG